rnacentral:rRNA from 1 species
UACGUAGGGUGCGAGCGUUAAUCGGAAUUACUGGGCGUAAAGCGUGCGCAGGCGGUCUGUUAAGACCGAUGUGAAAUCCCCGGGCUUAACCUGGGAACUGCAUUGGUGACUGGCAGGCUUUGAGUGUGGCAGAGGGAGGUAGAAUUCCACGUGUGGCAGUGAAAUGCGUAGAGAUGUGGAGGAAUACCGAUGGCGAAGGCAGCCUCCUGGGCCAACACUGACGCUCAUGCACGAAAGCGUGGGGAGCAAACAGG